rnacentral:rRNA from 1 species
CCUACGGGUGGCAGCAGUGAGGAAUAUUGGUCAAUGGGCGCGAGCCUGAACCAGCCAAGUCGCGUGAGGGAGGACGGCCCUACGGGUUGUAAACCUCUUUUGCCGGGGAGCAAGGGGCGUCACGUGUGGCGCCACGGAGAGGACCCGGAGAAAAAGCAGCGGCGAACUCGGUGCCAGCAGCCGCGGUAAUACGGAGGAUGCGAGCGUUAUCAGGAUUUAUUGGGUUUAAAGGGUGCGUCGGCGGAUCGUUAAGUCAGUGGUCAAAUUGAGGGGCUCAACCCCUUCCCGCCAUUGAAACUGGCGCUCUUGAGUGGACGAGAAGUCUGCGGAAUGCGUGGUGUAGCGGU